UAGGCAAUAAGAGGCUGGGUCAGGGCAUA
rnacentral:piRNA from 1 species